GGGUGGCUGCAGUCAAGAACCUUCCACAAUGGGCGAAAGCCUGAUGGAGCGACGCUGCGUGCGGGAUGAAGGCCUUCGGGUUGUAAACCGCUUUUGUAGGGGAAGAAUCCGCCUUUGGCGGAUGACGGUACCCUUUCGAAUAAGAGGUUGCUAACUCUGUGCCAGCAGCAGCGGUAAUACAGAGACCUCGAGCGUUGUCCGGAUUUACUGGGCGUAAAGCGUCUGUAGGGGGCUUGUUAAGUCUUAAGUUAAAUCUUAAAGCUCAACUUUAAGUUCGCUUAAGAAACUAAUAAGCUAGAGCAUAGCAGAGGCGCAUGGAACUUGCGGUGUAGGAGUGAAAUCCUUUGAUAUCGCAAGGAAUACCAAAGGCGAAGGCAUUGCGCUGGGCUAUUGCUGACCCUGAGAGACGAAAGCGUGGGGAGCAAAACGGAUUAGAUACCCGUGUAGUCCACGCCGUAAACGAUGAAUACUAGAUGUCCGGGGUUUCGACCCCCUGGGUGUCGCAGCUAACGCGUUAAGUAUUCCGCCUGGGAAGUACGGCCGCAAGGCUAAAACUCAAAGGAAUAGACGGGGAUCCGCACAAGCGGUGGAGCGUCUGGUUUAAUUCGAUAGUAAGCGAAGAACCUCACCAAGACUUGACAUCCCGCGACAGCCUUGGAAACAAGGUUUCCUUCGGGCGCGGUGACAGGUGCUGCAUGGUCGUCGUCAGUUCGUGCCGUGAGGUGUUCCGUUAAGUCGGGAAACGAACGAAACCCCUUUUGUAUGUUAUAUUUUUCAUACGAUACUGCCCGGGUCAACUGGGAGGAAGGUGGGGAUGAAGUCAGAUCAGCAUGGUCCUUAUGUCUUGGGCUACACAGGCGCUACAAUGGCCGAUACAAUGGGUUGCCAAAUCGCGAGAUGGAGCUAAUCCCAAAAAGUCGGUCCCAGUUCGGAUUGGAGGCUGCAAUUCGCCUCCAUGAAGCCGGAAUCGCUAGUAAUCGUGGAUCAGCCAUGCCACGGUGAAUACGUUCCCGGAUCUUGUACUCACCGCCCGUCACACCAAGAGAGUUGGUAGCUCCUGAAG
rnacentral:rRNA from 1 species